GAUGAAGAACGCAGUGAAAUGCGAUACUUGGUGUGAAUUGCAGAAUCCCGUGAACCAUCGAGUCUUUGAACGCAAGUUGCGCCCGAAGCCAUUAGGCCGAGGGCACGCCUGCCUGGGCGUCACACGUCGUUGCCCCCCCAUCUACUCCUUCGGGAUUGCGGGGGGCGGAUGAUGGCCUCCCGUGCGCCUCGCCGCGCGGUUGGCAUAAAUGCCAAGUCCUCGGCGACGCACGCCACGACAAUCGGUGGUUGCGAAACCUCGGUUGCCCGUCGUGUGCGGUCGUCGCGCAUCGAGGGCUCGAAAAAAUUGCCGGGUUCCGGCUCGGCUUUCAACGCGACCCCAGGUCAGGCGGGGUUACCCGCUGAAUUUAAGCAUAUCAAUAAGCGGAGGA
rnacentral:misc_RNA from 1 species